AGAAAAGAUUGUGACUAAUAAUUGCAAUUCAUGACGGUAUCAACAGAAGAAGCACCGGCUAACUACGUGCCAGCAGCCGCGGUAAUACGUAGGGUGCGAGCGUUAAUCGGAAUUACUGGGCGUAAAGGGUGCGCAGGCGGUUCUGUAAGUCAGAUGUGAAAUCCCCGGGCUUAACCUGGGAACUGCGUUUGAAACUACAGAGCUAGAGUGUGGCAGAGGGGGGUGGAAUUCCAUGUGUAGCAGUGAAAUGCGUAGAGAUAUGGAAGAACAUCGAUGGCGAAGGCAGCCCCCUGGGUCAACACUGACGCUCAUGCACGAAAGCGUGGGGAGCAAACAGGAUUAGAUACCCUGGUAGUCCACGCCCUAAACUAUGUCAACUAGUUGUCGGGCCUUAUUAGGUUUGGUAACGUAGCUAACGCGUGAAGUUGACCGCCUGGGGAGUACGGUCGCAAGAUUAAAACUCAAAGGAAUUGACGGG
rnacentral:rRNA from 1 species